rnacentral:rRNA from 1 species
GAUGAACGCUGGCGGCGUGCCUAAUACAUGCAAGUCGAGCGAACGGACGAGAAGCUUGCUUCUCUGAUGUUAGCGGCGGACGGGUGAGUAACACGUGGAUAACCUACCUAUAAGACUGGGAUAACUUCGGGAAACCGGAGCUAAUACCGGAUGAUAUUUUGAACCGCAUGGUUCAAAAGUGAAAGACGGUCUUGCUGUCACUUAUAGAUGGAUCCGCGCUGCAUUAGCUAGUUGGUAAGGUAACGGCUUACCAAGGCAACGAUGCAUAGCCGACCUGAGAGGGUGAUCGGCCACACUGGAACUGAGACACGGUCCAGACUCCUACGGGAGGCAGCAGUAGGGAAUCUUCCGCAAUGGGCGAAAGCCUGACGGAGCAACGCCGCGUGAGUGAUGAAGGUCUUCGGAUCGUAAAACUCUGUUAUUAGGGAAGAACAUAUGUGUAAGUAACUGUGCACAUCUUGACGGUACCUAAUCAGAAAGCCACGGCUAACUACGUGCCAGCAGCCGCGGUAAUACGUAGGUGGCAAGCGUUAUCCGGAAUUAUUGGGCGUAAAGCGCGCGUAGGCGGUUUUUUAAGUCUGAUGUGAAAGCCCACGGCUCAACCGUGGAGGGUCAUUGGAAACUGGAAAACUUGAGUGCAGAAGAGGAAAGUGGAAUUCCAUGUGUAGCGGUGAAAUGCGCAGAGAUAUGGAGGAACACCAGUGGCGAAGGCGACUUUCUGGUCUGUAACUGACGCUGAUGUGCGAAAGCGUGGGGAUCAAACAGGAUUAGAUACCCUGGUAGUCCACGCCGUAAACGAUGAGUGCUAAGUGUUAGGGGGUUUCCGCCCCUUAGUGCUGCAGCUAACGCAUUAAGCACUCCGCCUGGGGAGUACGACCGCAAGGUUGAAACUCAAAGGAAUUGACGGGGACCCGCACAAGCGGUGGAGCAUGUGGUUUAAUUCGAAGCAACGCGAAGAACCUUACCAAAUCUUGACAUCCUUUGACAACUCUAGAGAUAGAGCCUUCCCCUUCGGGGGACAAAGUGACAGGUGGUGCAUGGUUGUCGUCAGCUCGUGUCGUGAGAUGUUGGGUUAAGUCCCGCAACGAGCGCAACCCUUAAGCUUAGUUGCCAUCAUUAAGUUGGGCACUCUAAGUUGACUGCCGGUGACAAACCGGAGGAAGGUGGGGAUGACGUCAAAUCAUCAUGCCCCUUAUGAUUUGGGCUACACGCGUGCUACAAUGGACAAUACAAAGGGCAGCGAAACCGCGAGGUCAAGCAAAUCCCAUAAAGUUGUUCUCAGUUCGGAUUGUAGUCUGCAACUCGACUACAUGAAGCUGGAAUCGCUAGUAAUCGUAGAUCAGCAUGCUACGGUGAAUACGUUCCCGGGUCU